UGAAUGUCUGGAACGCCAUUACUCUUUCAUUUCUUUUUAUUUGCAAGUUUCUGUGUAAUCUUUACUGUGAUUGGUGGGGAGAGAGAUAUAUUCGAGGUCGAAAGUUCAUUUUGAUUUUAAACUAAACAAAAAUUAACCGUCUCAGAAAGUUUAGAGAGGUUCAGUCAGUUGCAGUUGCUGGACGUGAAAAUUUAAGAUCAAGUGAGUCAUCCGGCAUUGAGACAAUAGAAUUUCAGAAUUACAUCGAAAAUUAAAAAAAUUUAUAAUGACUUCUACUAGUUUCAACGUUGGUUUAAUCGAAAAAAAAAAUUCCAGCAGAGUUCUCAAGCCGCCAGGUGGUGGACAUACCGACAUUUUCGGCAUUAACUCUGAUACCGAAAUUGUUACUCCUAGCAAGAAAAGAAACAUUCCUCCAACUACUAUUACAAGCUGUUUCACUGAAGAAGUUGACUCUAGGGAAAAAUACCAACCAAAUAAUAAUCUAGAAAAAGCAGAAAAUGGUGAACAAAAUGGAAAUGCAAAUAUUGUUGAUGAAAAUACCGAACCUGCUCAUGAUAAUAAAGAAGAUGAAAAGAAAAAUGGACAAGAAGCUCCUAAAAAAACUAGAGUACCUCCAGGAGGUUUCUCAUCUAUUCUCUGGUAAUUUUUUAAAUUUAUACAGUGUGAUCAAAAUUUUAUCUUUAUAUUUAAAUGAGUUUUAGUUUAAACAAAAAACUUUCAAGUGCAGUUAGUAAGUACUCAGUCUUUCUAUGAAAGUAUAAAAAGUGCCACAAAUAAUCAAUAUUUUGUCUUCACUGAUAAGCUGUAUUAAGUUUCAAUUUAUAAAAGCAAUUACCCAGAAUGUUCAAACCUGGAAAGUGCAAAAAUACAGAUUAGUAUAUAAAUAAUUGAAGUAGAUUAAAUAAUUAUGUGAAAUUAUUAUGUAUUUAUGCACUUUGAUACUGAUUUUUGAUACUCUUAAAUAACUUAUAUUAUUUUUCAAUCAGAUUCAUAUAAUUAUACAUUUGUCGCAUGCUUUCCCUAAUGGAUGGAAUCUUAAAUUUCUUAUUCUAUAAAAAGGCUGAUAAUUUUGUAAUAAAUUAUGAAUUUAAAUAAAUUUGUUGUAUUUCUUAUUCCCCAAAGUAGCUGUUCCUACAUGUGGAUGUACAUUAAAGGAUAGUUUUUAACCUAAAUAUUUGUAAUUAAACUUGUUUUCUCAAAAUUAAAAAUUGUGAACCUUCAAUCAAUCCAAAUAGUUUUGUUUUACAUACUCAUGUUUAUCAUUUUGAUACUGAACUUUCAUUAAUAACAUCAAACUUUUUUUAAUAAAAAAUUUGGUAAGACUAGUGAUGAUUUCUUGAAGAAUCGGCAAAAUAUUAUUGGAUAAAAGAUUAGUUGUCUUUAUGUGUUUAUUCCUACAUUGUUUCUUACUAAAUCAAAGGAAGGGGAAAAGGGUUUGCAUUUGUUAUUAGAAAUUUUGAUUGUUUGCCUUCAGCUCUUGACUUUACUUUGAAUAACAAGGAUCAUUUUUAUUAAUUUAUAUAGAAUUGAAAUUUAUUAGUAUGCAUCAAAAAAAUCUACUCUCAACAAGUUCUAACUAAAAUUAGAAGCACAAAGUAAUGCAAAUAUGUCCAAGUAUCAUGGAUAGGUAGAAAUAAUUUCCUAGCUGUUUUAAUACAUUUUUAGAAAUAUCGAGGUGAUUGACCUAUUGUUUCCAAACAAAUGCAUAAACAGUUUUAACAAAUCUUUAUAAAUAGUAAUAAUACAUUCCUAUUUAAUUGAAGGUUACUAAGCGUUCAAGGUUAUGGCUUCUUGGGUUUCAAGGUUGACUUUACAGACAAACAAAUGAACAGACACGCAAUUUUUUGAAUAUAUAAUUAGUAACAUAGUAUGCAGUGAAUGUUUUCAGAAUAAUACAAAAUAAGUGUGAUAUUUCAUAGUCAAAAUUUUUUAUUCAAGUGGGCAUUUAUUCCUAUAAAUAAAGUUUUAAUUUGAACAGAUAUAGAAAUGUUGAUUUUUAUAAUAAAAUUAGUGACUCAGAAAUUUGG